rnacentral:rRNA from 1 species
UACGUAGGUGGCAAGCGUUGUCCGGAUUUAUUGGGUUUAAAGGGUGCGUAGGCGGCUGUUUAAGUCAGUGGUGAAAGCCGAUCGCUUAACGAUCGAACUGCCAUUGAUACUGUAGGGCUUGAGUACUGAUGAGGUAGGCGGAAUUGAUAGUGUAGCGGUGAAAUGCAUAGAUAUUAUCAAGAACACCGAUUGCGAAGGCAGCUUACUAAGGAGUUACUGACACUGAGGCACGAAAGCGUGGGGAUCAAACAGG